rnacentral:rRNA from 1 species
AGGACGAACGCUGGCGGCGUGCUUAACACAUGCAAGUCGAACGAGGUUAUAGGAGAGCUUGCUACAAAUAUAACCGAGUGGCGGACGGGUGAGUAACGCGUGAGCAACCUGUCUCACACGAGGGGAAUAACGCAUCGAAAGAUGUGCUAAUACCGCAUAGGACCACGGAGUCGCAUGGCUUUGAGGUGAAAGGAGCAAUCCGGUGUGAGGUGGGCUCGCGUCUGAUUAGAUAGUUGGUGAGGUAACGGCCCACCAAGUCAACGAUCAGUAGCCGACCUGAGAGGGUGAUCGGCCACAGUUGGGACUGAGACACGGCCCAGACUCCGUACGGGAGGCAGCAGUGGGGAAUAUUGGGCAAUGGGCGAAAGCCCUGACCCAGCAACGCCGCGUGAAGGAAGAAGGUUUCGGAUCGUAAACUUCUGUCCUAUAUGAAGAUAAUGACGGUAGUAUAGGAGGAAGCCCGGCUAACUACGUGCCAGCCGCCGC